AUAUUUGAUGGGGAUUUAUUUGAAUUAAAAUUCAAAGUAUUUUAAUCUGCUAGACCCUCAUGGAAGAGGCACCUUUGCAGAGUUCCCGCCAUACCCACUGCACUUCAAGCAAAAGCACAGUCACUCUUCCCAUCACUCUACAUAACACCUAAAAGAGUGUUGUGAAGAGGAAAAAAAGAAAAAUUUCACAAAAAAGAGCCAAAUGUCUAUUAACUGAGUGAAAACAUUAACUUUUAAUUUCCCGCCCAGGCCACGCUCUUCAAACCUGUGUGUUUCCCGCACCCCUGGGAAGGCGAAGGGAAGGAGCUACAUUGUCAAGUGUGGUCCAGCAAGUAAGCAGGUCCUGAGCACCAAACAUAUCACAGGCACUCACUGCUUGGACCCACCAGUCAACAGGAGCCUGCUAGAUACAGCCAUGUGCCACUCCAACCUCCCUGAGGGCAUGGCCUAUGCACUAUUUGAUUUUCAGCAUAUCAUCACGAACUCCAUGGGCGUCAAGAAGCAAUGGGUGUGGAUGUAGAAGCAGCCUGGAUUGCAACUGUGGACCCCAAAGGAAAAUGCAAGCUCCUUUCUCAGUUGGUACAGCAAAAUCGACGAAGCUAAUAUGGAUUUUGAUCAAGCAAAUUAGCAUUGAGAUUCCAGUUCUACUAUGUAAUAAAUGGCCUUAAACAAAUUAUUUUUGUGAGUACACAUUUUCUCACUCAGAUAAAUGAAACUAAUAAUGUCUUAACGAGAAAUUAGGAGGAUUAAAAGAGAAGUAUGAAAAGUAUGAACAAUAAUCUAAUACAGAAUCAGUGGGUCUAUAUUUAAAAUUGUCUUCUUCCUUCUGUAGUAAAAACAUAAAGUUGGCCAGGCGCAGUGGCUCACGCCUGUAAUCCCAGCACUUUGGGAGGCCAAGGCGGGCAGGUCACGAGGUCAGAGGGUCGAGACCAUCCUGACUAACACAAUGAAACCCCAUCUCUACUAAAAAUACAAAAAAAUUAGCUGGGCGUGGUGGUGGGCACCUGUAGUCCCAGCUACUCGGGAAGCUGAGGCAGGAGAAUGGCGUGAACCCGGGAGGCGAAGCUUGCAGUGAGCCGAGAUGGUGCCACUGCACGCCAGCCUGGGCGACAGAGCAAGACUCCGUCUCAAAAAAAAAAAAAAAAAAUGUUAAAAAUAGCUAUCAGUAUCUAUUGCUAGUCUAUAUAUGCAAUUUGUUCAAGUGAUUCUUUUCAAAUUAAGAGGAAGAGGAAG
ensembl:lincRNA